rnacentral:rRNA from 1 species
CCUACGGGUGGCAGCAGUGGGGAAUAUUGCACAAUGGGGGAAACCCUGAUGCAGCGACGCCGCGUGAAGGAAGAAGUAUUUCGGUAUGUAAACUUCUAUCAGCAGGGAAGAAAAUGACGGUACCUGACUAAGAAGCCCCGGCUAACUACGUGCCAGCAGCCGCGGUAAUACGUAGGGGGCAAGCGUUAUCCGGAUUUACUGGGUGUAAAGGGGGCGUAGGCGGCUAUGCAAGUCAGAAGUGAAAGUCAGGGGCUCAACUCCGGGACUGCUUUUGAUACUGUCUGGCUAGAUUGCAGGAGAGGUAAGUGGAAUUCGUAGUGUAGCGGUGAAAUGCGUAGAUAUUAGGAAGAACACCAGUGGCGAAGGCAGCCUGCUGGACUGUAAAUGACGCUGAGGCUCGAAAGCGUGGGGAGCAAACAGGAUUAGAUACCCGUGUAGUC